UUUCCAUGCAAUUUUCUAUAUCAUCAUAAAUCAUGUGUACACUAUAAAGUAAUCAUGAUGGAUGUCAUUCAGCCAAAAUCAUGCAACACUUGAUACAUAUGCUUGAUCCUAAUUUUUGCGAAGCAUAAUUAGUAAUAUACAAUUUCAUAUUCAAAUAGUUUCAUAUAUUUGAAAACAAUAAGAUUAUGUCAGGGUCACUUACCUCAAUUCGGUUACAAAAUCCUAGUUUUAGAUGACAAUUCUCCAACACCUAGCAAUAUCAUAAACAAUCAAAUUAUUGAUAUUUGCUCCUUCCAUUUCUUAUUUAUUUAUUUAACCUUUAUUCUACCUCUUCUACUACUUUUCUACUUUUAAUUAUUAUAUUUUAUUUCUAUAUAUUCACACACUACUCUUAAUUAAAAUCCUUUACAGCCCACCUAAAGGACUCAAUUUCUGGUUCAAGCCCAUGGCCUGAUUCAGUCACUGGGCUCAUUUUAUUCAGGCCCAUGGCCUGAUUCAGUUACUGGGCUCAUUUUUUUAUUCAUGCCCAUGGCCUAAUUCAGUUACUGGGCUCAUUUUUAUUCAGGCCCAUGGCCUGAUUUAAUUUUGGUUC
rnacentral:lncRNA from 1 species